rnacentral:rRNA from 1 species
UACGGAGGAUGCAGGCGUUAUCCGGAUUUAUUAGGUUUAAAGGGUGCGUAGGCGGCCCGGUAAGUCAGUGGUGAAAGUUUGCGGCUCAACCGUAAAAUUGCCAUUGAUACUGUCGGGCUAGAAUAUGGUGGAGGUAGGCGGAAUGUGUAGUGUAGCGGUGAAAUGCUUAGAUAUUACACAGAACACCGAUUGCGAAGGCAGCUUGCUAUACCAUUAUUGACGCUGAUGCACGAAAGCGUGGGGAGCGAACAGG